UCUAUGGAGAGACAACAGGAUGCGUAUUAUAGCUGGAAUAAUAAAGAGAAAGUGCAAAAAUUGCCAUUUUUACACCCACUAUACACAGAUCAGACACCCACAAUUGUUUUGUUGCUUUUCUUUUUUUUUUAUCUUACUGUCUACUGACAGAAUGGACUCUCAGAGUUCGGCAAUACUGCUUGACCAACCUUAACCCUUCAUUUCUGACUAGAAUUAAAUAAGAAAUGAUGGAAACAGAAAUAUUUAGUGACAUCAAAAACUUCUAAAUGUCAUUCAUGCAACGGAAACUGUGGGCCUGGAGCCAUGUCGAAGCUCAACUCGAGCUUUGCAGACUAGAAUUGCUGCACGGCACAAUCUAAUGAAAUAUAAUAAUCUAAUGAACUAUAUAAAAUAGGCUGUGCCGAUAAUUCCGUCUUUCUGAAUGUAAUAAUGCCCAAUUUUGAGCAGAUGAAGGACAUGGAUUACUGAAGCCAUGUCCUGCGGUCUGAUGACAUCAUCAGCUAGGCGAUGCAAAAGUCAACCACUGACAAGAGAUUGCAUUUGAAGAAAGAAAAGAAAAAAAAAAAUAGCCGCUCGCCUCGUCUCAAUGCCCCCACUCGUUUCAAAUGUGAAAUAGUAGAGCAAUCCAUUCCAUCCCCGUCUCAACAAUACCAAGUACCUAGAACCAGUGCGCUGUCCAGUCACACAAGGUGUGGCCAUGCGUGGGCAGUGUCUUGUCUCUUGUGUAAUCUGAGGAGAAUUGGCCCCAUUCGCACACAGCAUUUACGUCCGCACAAAUUUACCAAUUUUUUUUCAAAAGUCUGCAUACAAAAUUUUGAUGAUUCAUCAAUAAGUUUUACUCAUAUUUGUUCUUACUGUGUGAACAGAUUUAACACCUCGUCAGACCAUGCGUAUGCAAGAAUAAUGAUCACCACCCGUACAAAAAAAACAUCUUUUACCCCAAUUGCACAAUCUAUUGACUUUGUUGUUAUUGCUCUACUGCUGUAUUUAAAUAUUAAUAAUGUAUAUUCAUUUGUGGUUUCAUUUACUGUUUUCACAGUCUUUGUGGUUGUCCCAUUGUUAGAUGUAAGGCGCGACAUGAAACUACAUUUAUCAAAAGCCAAAUGCUUAUCCAUAAUGAUAAUAAUCGAAGCUGCUAGUUAUUAUUAAUAUUUUAAAAAAGGAACAAAUACAAAAUUAUAUGUAGGUGACAGAUGAAUGUCAACAAUUUUACCAGCGUUUGAUUACACAUCACGUCAGAGCAAUAUUUUGACAUCAGUAGAAGGGGCUUUAGCAUAUUUAGAGGUCACCACUGUACUGUAUAAACAAUGAGAGUCAAUGAAAUGAGGAAAAGUACA